UACGGAGGGUGCAAGCGUUAUCCGGAUUCACUGGGUUUAAAGGGUGCGUAGGUGGGCAGGUAAGUCAGUGGUGAAAUCUCCGGGCUUAACCCGGAAACUGCCAUUGAUACUAUCUGUCUUGAAUACCGUGGAGGGAGCGGAAUAUGUCAUGUAGCGGUGAAAUGCUUAGAUAUGACAUAGAACACCAAUUGCGAAGGCAGCUCACUACGCGAAUAUUGACACUGAGGCACGAAAGCGUGGGGAUCAAACAGG
rnacentral:rRNA from 1 species